ACCUCUAAAAGCGCUGCCAUUAGUUUAUAAAAAAUAAAAUAAAAUUCAGAAUCCCUUCAGACCCACUUCAUGCUUCCAAGAAACCCUAUGGCCAGGGACGCGGCAGAGCUUCCAUCUUCAUCAAGCCCUAGUAGCUACCGCCAAGACCUCCGCCUUCCAAUCCUCUCAAACGCAGAUUUAGAAGAUUAGAAGAGAAGACUCAAUUCUUACACUCACAACACAAUCACAACACAAUCACAUCGCUACCGAAGAAGAGAACAAGAACAAGAAUCUACGCUGAAUUCAUUUAGAAGAUUAGAAGAGAAGACUCAAUUCUUACACUCACAACACAAUCACAACACAAUCACAUCGCUACCGAAGAAGAGAACAAGAACAAGAAUCUACGCUGAAUUCGGUAAGGGAAGUGCUUCUUGAUCUAUGGUUGCUGUUGGAGUAGAAGUGAAGCAUGCAGAUGGUGCACCUGAGGAACAUUGCUCUGCCAAGCUAACCAAGCAGGGUGAGGGGCUUCGACAGUACUAUACUCAUCACAUCCAUGAGCUACAGCUCCUUCUCCGUCAAAAGAUCCGUAAUCUUAAUCAUCUUGAGGCUUGACGUAACGAGCUCAAUUCUAGGGGUUCGUUAAAUCUAAUUCAAACUUAGGCUGAGGCUUCCAACAGGAACUGUGAAAGGAUGAAGCACCCAAAUAGAUUCUAGAGAAUGGUAACAUGUUUUACACUUCAUGUAUGUUUUGAAAAUCGAAAUUCCCAAAAGCCAUAAUCUAGUACUCUCACCAUUUCCACUCAGCAACUUUUUAACCUCCAUAACCAUAUGCUCAACAGAACAAUAGUAGCUCCUUUUUUGCUCACAGUAACUUGACUAAAACUCAAACAACCAUUUCAAAUCACCUUCGGCAUUCAAAACACUCUUUCUUACAAUGACGGUGUUUCUUCUCCUCUUCACUAGCUCAUUCAACACACUAGUUACAUCAUCAUUGUUAACAUAUUCUAUAGGCUUGGAAUUGGUGAAUGAAUUCGAACCGCCGAGGCAAAGAGUUUGAGGAGGCUUAAUGUUAAUGCUAAUUUCUUUCUGUGAAGAAACUUCCAUUGGAAGAGCUUGUUCCACUUCAACUCUUGCUUUCACAGGAGUACUAGAGAAACCAGCUUCUCUCAUAACUCUACUAACACUUGGAUCAUCAAGUAUAGAGAUUAUGAGCUGCUCAACUUCAAUCUUCAAGGCCAGAAUAUGCUGCUGCUCUUAUUCUCGAAGUGUUAUUGUUUUCUUCUAUUUCUGUUAUGCGUGCGUUUAUUAUUAAAUUGAAUUGUGUUUAUUCUUUUUGUGAAAUUUGUUAAUACCGUGUGUUGAUUGUUGUAGGUUUGAGGAGAAGUGUUAAUGGCGUCUAAACAAGGAGUGAAAUCAAAGCGAUUUGGUUUGAUUAGUACAAAAGCUGCGAAUUCGCCUUCUUCUUCUUCGACGACGUCGUCUUCUAAACAGUUUCAAGAAACCUCCAAUGAUGAUCCGAGCUCGCCGGCAUCGUCGAAUAAGCCGCGACAGUUUUAUCCAGAGACUUUUCCUUUGGAGGCUCAGAAGACUAAAUAAAAUGUUACUGUGACGGUUCGGUUUCGGCCUUUGAAGUGAGGCUGAAGCCAUCAUUGCCAAGGCAAUAGCAACAGCUGAAGGACUUUCUGUUGUGUCACAAACCUUAAAAGAAAAUGGAGGAUCAGAGAAAUCAUGUUUAGGUUGCAAGCUCCAUAUGUUUAGAGUUCCAUUGUUUGUGUAUCAAAGAUGGUUGGAAUUUUAAACUUUCAAUAUCCUAGCAUUCCAUUCAGACAAACUAAAGAGAAGACUUAAUUGCCCCCUACCACUGCAAAGGUACACAAAAAUAUGUCCAUAGAUCAUGUUUAGAUAGCUGGAGAUCUACCAAGGAGGGCUUUGCUUUUUCUCACUGUACAGAGUGCAGAGCUGUCUUCAUAUUACGAGCAAAUGUCCCAAAAGAUCGCUGGUGAUUUUCCACUGCAUUUUACUAUGUUGGAAUUGUGUCAGGCCCCAACUAUGGAGCGAUAUCUACAUGAUUUACUUCAGUAUGCAUUGGGGGUUUUGCAUAUUGUUACAUUGGUACCUAACAGUCAAAAGAUGAUUGUAAAUGCAACAUUAAGCACCAACCGGUCUGGUAUUUAUGUAAUUUUAGAUGCUACAAAUAUUAGCAAUAGUCAUGUGGACCCUGAGAUAAUUCAAUCAGCCUUAAAUGUUUUAAUCACCCGUGUUUGCCCCCCUCCUGCAAUCAGCAAUAAACCACCUGCAUUGUCACAAGGCCAGCAGUUUGCGUCUUCCCAAACCUCUAAUGGUGCUCUCUCUGAGACUAGAGAUAGAUAUGCCGACCGAUCUGCUCAAGGUGCCAGCCAUAUUGAUCCUAGGGACGCUGUGCCGGCCUUGCCACACAGCUGAACAAGGAUAUCAUCAGGCAAGAGAGGCUGUCUGUUCUAGUAAUGGUAUAAAGGUUCUUAUACAAAUCAUCUCUUCGCGUGUAUGUUCAUCUCCUGCUGCUCUGGACUAUCUCCGUGCUCUAGAUUGUCGAGUUCUGCUUGGAUUAGUCAGAGAUGACAAUAUUCCACAUACAUUGACAAAACUUCAGGUUUGGUUUCGUAUCAUGUUCAACUCAGUCUUUUUUGUGUUGGAUGUAGGGAUGGAAAUGGUAGGUUUCUCAAUUUCAAGGCUAGCACUGAAUAGGCUUAGGUGGACCAGUUCUGUCAUGCUCCUACUCACACUGUUUCUGUUGCCCUUUGACUUUAUGCAUAUUAGUAUUUUUACAUGAUCACAGCUUGCCUUGGAUCACUUCCGAAAUGGGCAUAACCUGCAUCAAGGAUUUUGGUCUUGACUUUGCAAAGCUUUGGAGCCAUUUGAGUUGGCAUAGGGGCUGGCUGAAAUGAAUUGGUUAGAGAAGGUAGUUUAGAACUUUUAGGAAUGUUAAGCAGUAGCAUGUAGAUUCAUCAUUAGCUUUGUGUAAAUUAUAACCAUAUUGACAUGCUCAAAACUAUGAUUUGAUCCAGGAUUUCCAAAAAGAGAUUAUUAUGUGAAAUUAUUAGUUUGUGGUA